UACGUAGGGUGCAGAGAUUGAAUCGAUCUGGGCGUAAAGCGUGCGCAGGCGGUUUGUAGAGACCAGAUGUGAAAUCCCCGGGCUUAACCUGGGAACUGCAUUUGUGACUGCAAGGCUGGAGUACGGCAGAGGGGGAUGGAAUUCCGCGUGUAGCAGUGAAAUGCGUAGAUAUGCGGAGGAACACCGAUGGCGAAGGCAAUCCCCUGGGCCUGUACUGACGCUCAUGCACGAAAGCGUGGGGAGCAAACAGG
rnacentral:rRNA from 1 species